rnacentral:lncRNA from 1 species
UUUUUAUGAUACAACCUUUAUAUAUAAUAUUCCCCAGUAAUGUCUCACUCCCAUGUGUUGACAUGAAGUGUACAUAAUCAAUGUUUUCAAGUAAUACAUUUAAAUUUUGAGUAAAAGCAUAUGAAACAAAAGAAUGUGAAGUAUUAGUAUCAAUUAAAACAUAUGCAAGGUGGUUGCAGAUAGUAUACUUAUCUUGUAUUAUAUCUGGGUUGGCUUCAGCAUCCUGUUGGGUGAGUGUAUAGACUCUGCUCUGAACUGCGAGUCUAGCCUAAUUAUGAUUUUGCAGACUCUCUAUUGCGUAGUGAUGAGCACUUCCACAUAUGCGGCAGGUGUUGGUGAGACGAUAGUAAAGUCGGUCUCCAUGAUCCUUGCCACAGUGUUGGCAACCCUUGUCGCAUUCUGUUACGAGGCCUAGGAAGGAGCUUGAGUUGUGGGUCUUGGUCUCUUGUUCUGCUAGUUCAGUGUAGUAAGUAUUGGCCUGGAUGUGGAACCGGGAGUCUGGAGUUGCCCAUUGCUGGGGAAAAAUGCGGAGGUUCCUCUCUAUCAAUUGUGCCUUGUCCAAGACUGCUGAAUAUGUGCUGAGCUCGAAGACAUAAAACUGUUGUCUGACCCUAGGACGGAGAUCCCACUCAAACCUUUUUGUCUUCCUGCCUUCAUUUAUUAUGCUCUCAGGAAAUUAUCGGCCUAACUUCAAGAAUUUUCGAGCAUAUUCUGAUACUGACAAAUCUCCCUAGACUAAGGUCCAGAUAGAAAAUUUUAUCUCCUUCAAAUGUCGGAGGUAUUCUGGAAGGUACUCAACAUUGAAGGUUGUCAGAAACUGUUAUCAGGUGACUGGAGUGGAUAGAGUAGCUUGCUUCAGUUGCCACCAACGCCCUGCCUCACCUACAAGCAUGUAAGUGGUAAGAAUAACCUUAUGUUCGGGAACUACUCCAAGGGUUGCGAAGGCUUUCUCUAUCUCUACUAAUCAGUAUUCAGCUUCUUCAAAAGUGGAUAUCCCUGUAAAAGUAGAUGAAUUGAGUCUCUUGUACCUCUCGAUGUAGUUUGAGUCCAUCGUGGGUGGAGUUGGAUCCUGUUGAAGGGAAACUGGAUUAUGCUGGAGAGGAACCGGGUAGCCUUGUGGCGGCACCUAGUUGUAUGGUGGAGGCACCGAAUUGUAUUAUGACGGUGUCGGAUGAUACUGUGGAGGAGCAGAGUUUUACCGUGGUGGUACUAGAUCCUCUCGGUGUGGAGGUGGCUUAUACUGUGGUAGUGGUGGAGGGGGAUCAGGCAACUCCUUUCUCUCCUCCCUAGCCUACUAGACAAAGAUGAAUCUCCCAAGCAUUUUGAAGAGCCGAUCAACAUCCUCCCGAAGUGAUCCUUCUCGAGCUGCUCUAUUUAACGGGGGUCUUCCUCUUCUCAUGUUUUUGUACCUACAUUUCAUAACAAAGGUUUGAGAUUUGGGUUGCAUUGAAUUACUCUAAUCCUAUGUUCAAGGAAUGGUUUCGAGAAACGCAGCUCUGAUACCAACUGUAAAAACUCAAAAUUAGGGAAUUAAAAUAAUAGUGAAAUUUAUUAAUUAGCGGAAGCAACUUAGAGUUUAG